rnacentral:rRNA from 1 species
AUUGAACGCUGGCGGCAUGCCUUACACAUGCAAGUCGAACGGUAACGGGCCUUCGGGUGCCGACGAGUGGCGAACGGGUGAGUAAUGUAUCGGAACGUACCUUUCAGUGGGGGAUAACGUAGCGAAAGUUACGCUAAUACCGCAUAUUCUGUGAGCAGGAAAGCAGGGGAUCGCAAGACCUUGCGCUGAUUGAGCGGCCGAUAUCAGAUUAGCUAGUUGGUGAGGUAAAGGCUCACCAAGGCGACGAUCUGUAGCGGGCCUGAGAGGAUGAUCAGCCACACUGGGACUGAGACACGGUCCAGACUCCGACGGGAGGCAGCAGUGGGGAAUUUUGGACAAUGGGGGCAACCCUGAUCCAGCCAUGCCGCGUGAGUGAAGAAGGCCUUCGGGUUGUAAAGCUCUUUCGGCCGGGAAGAAAUCGCACGGGCUAAUACCCUGUGUGGAUGACGGUACCGGAAUAAGAAGCACCGGCUAACUACGUGCCAGCAGCCGCGGUAAAAC